GUGACUUAGUAUAUGGGCAAGAAGGCAAGUGCUACAGGCAACACCAGUUUGCCAAGUUCCCAGUGUCUCGCAGGUUCACAGCUAAAAUAUAUCUCCAAGGUCUCUUACAAUGAAAAGAGGCCCUAAGACAGAGCUUUGCCAAGAAAAGGGGCAGAUAGACUUCUUGCCACCAAGGAUGGCUCAUAAAAGACCCCAUGCAAGCCUCCUAGUUUUUCUUCCUUCUCGUCUAACACUGUGAUGGCAAAAUAUCCAAAUGUCUAGAAAGUAGAAAGAAGUUGAUAUCAUCAAUGUGACUGUAGAGCUGAGCUUCUCUGCAAAUCUGCAUGGAAAGACAAAUCUGCAUGGAAGACACAAGGAAAACUUUCAUAAAAUUCAUCUGCUGAGAUUUCGUGGUUGCAUUUAGGCCACCCUGAUAAAUAUAAGCUGGUAACGACAA